rnacentral:rRNA from 1 species
GAGCAUKGUGGUUUAAUUCGAUGCAACGCGAAGAAMCYUUACCUACCCCUGACAUGUAGUGAACUUACCAGAGAUGGUUUUGGUGCCUUCGGGGAACACUAACACAGGUGCUGCAUGGCUGUCGUCAGCUCGUGUCGUGAGAUGUUGGGUUAAGUCCCGUAAACGAGCGCAACCCUUGUCCUAUGUUGCCAGCACGUAAUGGUGGGGACUCAUGGGAGACUGCCGGGGACAACUCGGAGGAAGGCGAGGACGAUGUCAAGUCAUCAUGGGCCUUAUAUCCAGGGCUGCACGCAUGCUACAAUGGGCGAUACAAUGGGCUGCGAUCCCGCGAGGGUCAGCUAAUCCCGUAAAGUCGUCCUCAGUUCGGAUUGGAGUCUGCAACUCGACUCCAUGAAGCCGGAGUCGCUAGUAAUCGUGGAUCAGCAAAGCCACGGUGAAUACGUUCUCGGGGCUUGUACACACCGCCCGUCACAUCACGGAAGUCGGUAACACCCGAAGUCAGUGGCCUAACCCCUUGGGGAAGGAGCUGCCGAAGGUGGGAUUGGUGACUGGGAUGAAGUCGUAACAAGGUA